AUGUUCUGGGCGACACGCGCACUACAAUGUCAGUGAGAACAAGAAAAACGACUUCUGUCGGACCUACUUGAUCAAAAGAGUGGGAAAACCCCGGAAUCACAUAGACCCACUUGGGACCGAGUAUUGCAAUUAUUGGUCGCGCAACGAGGAAUGUCUCGUAGGCGCAGCUCAUCAAACUGUGCCGAUUACGUCCCUGCCAUUUGUACACACCGCCCGUCGUUGUUUCCGAUGAUGGUGCAAUACAGGUGAUCGGACAGUCGGGUGUUUCAUCUGACCGAAAGUUCACCGAUAUUUCUUCAAUAGAGGA
rnacentral:rRNA from 1 species